UACGUAGGAGGCAAGCGUUGUCCGGAUUUAUUGGGCGUAAAGAGCUCGUAGGCGGUCUGUCGCGUCUGCUGUGAAAACCCGAGGCUCAACCUCGGGCCUGCAGUGGGUACGGGUAGACUAGAGUGCGGUAGGGGAGAAUGGAACUCCUGGUGUAGCGGUGGAAUGCGCAGAUAUCAGGAAGAACACCGAUGGCGAAGGCGGUUCUCUGGGCCGUAACUGUCGCUGAGGAGCGAAAGCGUGGGGAGCGAACAGG
rnacentral:rRNA from 1 species